UCCUUACAUCCCAAACCCUAGUUUCUAUUCCAACAUCAUCCCAAAUCCCUCAACUUCUGGAUCGGAUUGAAAACUUGAAAAUGCUACUCCAGUUCAUUGAUUCUCGUAUCAAACCCUGAAGAGUUCUUGAAGUUUUUAGCAAUUCAAGAAUCUGUUGCAGUGAAACAAAGACUUGCUGGUUUUAGGGUUCAGAACUUCAAAAUUUCAAGUGAAUUCUAUCCAAGAUGCAAGCAAAUCAAGCUGACGUUUCAAAAUAACCUGCUGUUGCUUCGAAGAAAAAGGGGCUGGACGAAUUCAGCACUGAAGAUGAUAAAAAAGCAGAAUGGGAGACAUGAAAGAGUUCUGCUCGAUCACUGGGUAAUGGAAGAUGAAGUGUCAAAACAACCUGCAAUUGCUUUGGAGAAAAUGAUGCUGGAAAAAUUCUGCACUAAAUAUGCUAGCAAAGAGGAAGAGUAGGCACUAAAGAGUUCUGCUCAAGAAAAGUGAUAGAUGAAGUUUCAAAAAGACAACCUGUUAUUACGUAAGAGAAAAAUGUGCUGGAAUACAUUAUGCCCCAACAUGUCAAGUCAUUCGCGCCGAUUCCAAUACUUUCUAAUUUAGGUGGCAAGAAUUUCGUGGAUUUAAGUGAUAGGCAGUCAUGGUAAAACGUCAUUUGAAGAUUAGAUCAACAUGCUGAUAGACCCUUGUCCAUCUACAUCCGAAGAACAUGAUGGAGGAUUUGGAGUUAAUGUGAAAGAGUGUUCUCCUUCUAUAGAUCCCUCAAGUUGUAAGUAGACGAGAUUCUGUUCUCCAUUUAUGCAUGAUUCUUUAUCUAGAUGUCCUAAAGAGUAUAAAUCAUAUCAAAGGAUCAUUAAGAAUUCUGAUCUUCCUAAUGCAAUUUACAUUCACCGUACUUUUGCUGAUCAUGUGAAUCUCUUUCAAAAGAAUGAUGUUGAGCAAUCUCUUUCAAAAUAAAAAGUUGGCCGUUUGUGGUGUUGGGAAUGACUUUGUGAAAUUCCUUCAAGAGAAUGCUGGUGAACGAUCACCUGAUGCUCAAGUUAAAAUGACAGAUUUCAGUGCUGUGGAUAAUUUUAAUCUUGUUCUAAGUGAUGGUACUGAAUUAGUUUAUAAGCACGUGGAAGGACCAUGCCAGUUUCACUCUGUUGACAAGGUUUGACUGCUGAUGGGAUUUUGAAGAAAGUUGGCACAUCUUUUGAAAUAAUUCAUUGCACUAAAGAAGCAGAUUCCCUUCCGGACUAACUACUUAUGUGCUCAAGUAGGUUAUGGGAGUGUAAGGUAUAGGUUGACACACCACGUCAUGGUGAAUUCUUCAAACUUUUAGAGGCAGUCUGCUCUGAACUUCCUUAUGAGGCAAAUUGUUCUCAUUUUAAUAUGUGACUGGUUUGGUCUCUUAGGAAGCAAAAUCUAGUCUCCCUCGCAGCAACCAUCCUAAUUUUAUUCAUCAGUUCCUCUAUAGUCUAAACCCUUAUAUCCACCAAGAUACUUUCUUAAAUCCCCCCCCCCCAAAAUCCUUACGCUCCAAGCCCUAGUUUCCCUUUCCAACAACAUCCCAACACUUCUUCUUCAAACCUCGUCAAAAUUCUGGAUAGGAUUGAAAGUGCAUGCUGUGGUUCCUGAUGUUUUUAGCAAGUAAAGAAUCUGUUGCAGACUUGCAGUGAAAGAAAGACUUGGUGUGAGGAUUCAGAACUUGAAGUUUGAUUGCUGAUGGAAUGUUGAAGAAAUUCGGUACAUCUUUUUACAUGAAUUAUUGCACAAAAGGAGCAGAUUCCUCGCUGGGAAAACUAUUUAUUUGCUCAACAAGGUUAUGGAACUGUGAGGCAAACUCCCCUUAACUUCUUUAUGGAAGCAUUACUGGAGAUUUGAGGACGAAACCUCUUCUGGAGGUAACCAUGGUUGGUCAGCGGCUGAUAUUGUUUUUAUCACUAGCUGCUAGUAGCGGCUGAUAUUGUUGUACUGCCAGAAGAAUUCCCUGCAUAGAAGUUAGUGGGCACGAUAUCUUGGCAGAUCUGGCGCGAACAACUGGAUUGAAGUCUGAUUUAGGGCUUAAAAUGGAGGCUCUUGUAUCUGUUUUGCCUAAGGAUGCACUCAAGUGCUUGCUCAGAGCACCAAUGUUAUCUGAUCUUUUAUCAUGGUCGUGGACCUUUGUUUGAUCUGUUUGCGUAUAGGUUGUUAAAUGAAGUUCACACUAAGGGUCAAUUGCCGGAUAAAUAGAGCAGAAAGGCAUAGGCUUCAAGUCACUUUUCCGGGCAAGUGAAAAGAGCAAAUUAUCAAAAUAUGUGAAGUUUGUUAGUAGUAUGUAUUUGAUCUUGUAGCUAUUGUAAUUACUAGUGGGAGAAAAAUGUCGGUUAAGAUCUGUCUUUAGAAAAGUAAAGUAUAGGCUUGGAAUAUAUUCAUAAAUUCAAUGUUGAUAGUCA